CGAAUUCCUCGGGCCAAAAAAAUUGGAUAUGUGAAGCUCAAAAUAAGACUCUAUACAUAUAUUUUCAUUUAGACCCAAAAAAGAAAAAAGAGAUAUAUAUUUUCAUGACUAUAUCUUACCUUCAACAUUAUGCAGGUGAAGGAAAAAGAGAACAAGGAAGAUAAAUGUGCAACCCGUUUUCUCACAAUUUAAGUUUCUCAUUUCAGCCUCAGGCCCUCACCAACUUUAGAAUUUGUUAAUCUAAUAAGUU
rnacentral:lncRNA from 1 species